rnacentral:rRNA from 1 species
UGAAUACGAGACGCUAAGGCGUCGAAGUAGUGUAUGUCAUACUUCCAAGAAAAGCUUGCACUGUCAUAGAUAAAAAACGCCUGUACCAUAACCGACACAGGUGGGUAGGUAGAGUAUACUAAGGGGCGCGAGAUAACUCUCUCUAAGGAACUCGGCAAAAUAACUCCGUAACUUCGGGAGAAUGAGUGCCUUAUUCGUAAGGUUGCAAUAACAAGAUCCAAGCAACUGUUUAUCAAAAACACAGGUCUCCGCUAAGUCGUAAGACGAUGUAUGGGGGCUGACGCCUGCCCAGUGCCAGAAGGUUAAAGAAGUUGGUUAGCAAUUGCGAAGCUGAUAACUGAAGCCCUGGUGAACGGCGGCCGUAACGAUAACGGUCCUAAGGUAGCGAAAUUCCUUGUCGGGUAAGUUCCGACCCGCACGAAAGGCGUAAUGAUUUGGAUACUGUCUCGGAGAGGGGCUCGGUGAAAUAGACUUGUCUGUGAAGAUGCGGACUACCUGCACCAGGACAGAAAGACCCUAUGAAGCUUUACUGUAACUUGAAAUUGAAAUUGGACUUUAUUCGCGCAGUAUAGGUGGGAGGCGUUGAUUAUAAUCUUGUGGGAUUAUUGGAGCCAUCAGUGAGAUACCACUCUUGUAAUGUUAGAUUUCUAACUUUGAAUCAUUAUCUGGUCAAAGAACAGUUUCAGGCGGGCAGUUUGACUGGGGCGGUCGCCUCCUAAACGGUAACGGAGGCGUACAAAGGUUUCCUCUGAACGGUUAGAAAUCGUAUCUAGAGUGUAAAGGCAUAAGGAAGCUUGACUGUGAGACCUACAAGUCGAGCAGGGACGAAAGUCGGUCUUAGUGAUCUGACGGUACUGAGUGGAAAGGCCGUCACUCAACGGAUAAAAGUUACUCUAGGAUAACAGGCUGAUCUCCCCCAAGAGUUCACAUCGACGGGGAGGUUUGGCACCUCGAUGUCGGCUCAUCGCAUCCUGGGGCGGUAGUACGUCCCAAGGGUUGGGCUGUUCGCCCAUGAAAGCGGUACGCGAGCUGGGUUCAGAACGUCGUGAGACAGUUCGGUCCAUAUCCGGUGUAGGCGUUAGAAUAUUGAGAGGAGCCUUCUUUAGUACGAGAGGACCGAGAAGGACAUACCUCUGGUGUACCAGUUAUCGUGCCAACGGUAAACGCUGGGUAGCUAUGUAUGGAGUGGAUAACCGCUGAAAGCAUCUAAGUGGGAAGCCCACCUCAAGAUAAGUA